CUCGAUUCUUUUUUUUUUCCUUCUUUCUUCUUUUUCCCCCUAAAAGCCUCAAUUUCUUCUCAAAAGAU
rnacentral:ribozyme from 1 species